GACGAACGCUGGCGGCGUGCCUAAUACAUGCAAGUAGGACGCAGUCGCGAACGGGUGAGUAACGCGUAGGUAACUACCUAUUAGAGGGGGAUAACUAAUGGAAACGCUAGAUAAUACCGCAUACUAGUAGAUGGACCUGCGUUGUAUUAGCUAGUAGGUCUGGUAAUGGCCUACCUAGGCAAAGAUACAUAGCCGACCUGAGCGGGUGAUCGGCGAAGUGGGGACUGAGACACAGCCCAGAUGCAUACGGGAGGGAGGAGUAGGGAAUCUUGGGAAAUGGGGGUACCCCUGACAGAGCAACGCCCCGUUAGUGGAGCAGGUUUGCGGACCGGAAAGCUCUGCGGUUAAGGAAGCGGUACAUAACCAGAAAGGGACGGCUAACUACGUGCCAGCAGCCGCGGUAAUAC
rnacentral:rRNA from 1 species